GUUUAUGUUAGGGGAACCAGAGAUCCUGUGAUUUGCAAGCUCUCAGUGAGGACACCUGGCUGACAGUUAACCAAGAAGUGUGCUGACAUGGUUCAAAGCAGCUCUGCCUGCUCAAGAGGAGGAAAAGGAGCCUGAUGUUGAAACCUGGAACAAAGGAAUGGACACGUCUGUUUUCCUAAGUGCUCUUUGGUUUCUGUUAACUUCCAGAAAGCCUUGUUGCUCUGAUGUGUGCAGGCUGGGGCUCCCUGGGAUUCGUUGUGAAGUUGGUAGAAUUCCAGAGAUGACUUUUUUGGCACAGGCUAAGUCAGAGCAUCCUGUGUAUUCAUUGCCUCUGUGUAUUGCAGGUCCCAGAUGAGGCUUGGCGGCUUGRUUCAAUGUGGAGUGCGAUAUACUGGGACCACUACUUCUAAAAGACUACAAAAGACCAUCCUUUGAAAAUCAGAUAAGCACUCAGAGAACCUGCAUGCUCUUCUCCCCCUUCUUUCAACCCUUGGGUAUGUGACUGGCUCUUUUGCAGAUGUGCAGGUUUUCAAAGGACAGCCAGACAAUCCUGAUAGCCACAGUCAGCCCAAAAGCUGCACACACUGAGAAAAUCUCGAGCACUCUGCACCGUGCCAGUCAAGCCUGCAGCAUUGUCAGUGAGAAAAAAGUCAACAAGGAUUCMGGUACAGCGCUAAUGGGAGCAUGGUGCCCAGCAGCUUGUGGCCACAGGACUGGUGCCGACAACCCUUCACAAUGAAAGGAAAUAGAGGUUGGCCUAAAUCCAGGAGGGUGUAUUCAUUACUUCAGAAACUGAGA
rnacentral:lncRNA from 1 species